rnacentral:rRNA from 1 species
UAGGGAAUCUUCGGCAAUGGACGGAAGUCUGACCGAGCAACGCCGCGUGAGUGAAGAAGGUUUUCGGAUCGUAAAGCUCUGUUGUUAGAGAAGAACGUUGGUAGGAGUGGAAAAUCUACCAAGUGACGGUAACUAACCAGAAAGGGACGGCUAACUACGUGCCAGCAGCCGCGGUAAUACGUAGGUCCCGAGCGUUGUCCGGAUUUAUUGGGCGUAAAGCGAGCGCAGGCGGUUCUUUAAGUCUGAAGUUAAAGGCAGUGGCUUAACCAAUGUACGCUUUGGAAACUGGAGGACUUGAGUGCAGAAGGGGGGAGAGGAAUUCCAUGUGUAGCGGUGAAAUGCGUAGAUAUAUGGAGGAACACCGGUGGCGAAAGCGGCUCUCUGGUCUGUAACUGACGCUGAGGCUCGAAAGCGUGGGGAGCAAACAGG